AGAGUUUGAUCCUGGCUCAGGAUGAACGCUGGCGGCAUGCCUAAUACAUGCAAGUCGAACGAGGGUCCUUCGGGACUCGAGUGGCGAACGGGUGAGUAACACGUAGGGAACCUGCCCGUGCGGCCGGGAGAACUUUCGGAAACGGAAGCUGAUACCGGAUAGGGACAGAGACGGCAUCGACUCUGUGUUAAAGGAGCUGAAAGGCUCCGCGCACGGAUGGACCUGCGGUGCAUUAGCUGGUUGGUGAGGUAACGGCCCACCAAGGCGACGAUGCAUAGCCGGCCUGAGAGGGCGGCCGGCCACAUUGGGACUGAGACACGGCCCAGACUCCUACGGGAGGCAGCAGUAGGGAAUUUUCGUCAAUGGGCGCAAGCCUGAACGAGCAAUGCCGCGUGAACGAGGAAGGUCUUCGGAUCGUAAAGUUCUGUUGAAGGGGAAAAAGAGCGGAGAGAGGAAAUGAACUCCGAUUGAUAUUACCCUUCGAGGAAGUCACGGCUAACUACGUGCCAGCAGCCGCGGUAAUACGUAGGUGGCGAGCGUUAUCCGGAAUGAUUGGGCGUAAAGGGUGCGUAGGCGGCCUGCUAAGUCUGGAGUGAAAGGUACCGGCUCAACCGGUGCAGGUUCUGGAAACUGGCGGGCUAGAGAGCAGGAGAGGGCGGUGGAACUCCAUGUGUAGCGGUAAAAUGCGUAGAUAUAUGGAAGAACACCAGUGGCGAAGGCGGCCGCCUGGCCUGUUACUGACGCUGAGGCACGAAAGCGUGGGGAGCAAAUAGGAUUAGAUACCCUAGUAGUCCACGCCGUAAACGAUGAGGACCAAGUGUUGGGGAAGACCCAGUGCUGCAGUUAACGCAGUGAGUCCUCCGCCUGGGGAGUAUGCACGCAAGUGUGAAACUCAAAGGAAUUGACGGGGGCCCGCACAAGCGGUGGAGUAUGUGGUUUAAUUCGAAGCAACGCGAAGAACCUUACCAGGCCUUGACAUAGGGUGCGAAGCUAUGGAGACAUAGUGGAGGUAAACAUCCAUACAGGUGGUGCAUGGUUGUCGUCAGCUCGUGUCGUGAGAUGUUCAGUUAAGUCUGGCAACGAGCGCAACCCUCGUGAUGUGUUACCAAUAUCGAGUUAGGGACUCACAUCAGACUGCCGGUGAGAAACCGGAGGAAGGCGGGGAGGACGUCAAAUCAUCAUGCCCCUUAUGGCCUGGGCUACACACGUACUACAAUGGCGGCGACAGAGGGCAGCGAGCCUGCGAAGGCAAGCGAAUCCCCAAAAAGCCGUCCCAGUUCGGAUUGGAGUCUGCAACCCGACUCCAUGAAGUUGGAAUCGCUAGUAAUCGCGGAUCAGCAUGCCGCGGUGAAUACGUUCUCGGGCCUUGCACACACCGCCCG
rnacentral:rRNA from 1 species